ensembl:piRNA 21ur-4419 ncRNA
UAGUUUCACAUUAAAGGUGGU